UACGUGAGCAGCAAGCGUUGUUCGGAAUUACUGGGCGUAAAGAGUGUGUAGGCGGUGCUCUAAGUCUGUUGUGAAAUCUCCCGGCUUAACUGGGAGGGUGCGGCGGAGACUGGAGUGCUAGAGUGUGGGAGAGGUAAGCGGAAUUCCUGGUGUAGCGGUGAAAUGCGUAGAUAUCAGGAGGAACACCUGUGGUGUAGACAGCUUACUGGACCACGACUGACGCUGAGACACGAAAGCGUGGGUAGCAAACAGG
rnacentral:rRNA from 1 species